rnacentral:snRNA from 1 species
AAUAAACCUGAAACACUAAA